UUUUGUUUUCAGUUUUUCUCUGUUUUUGGUUAAAAUUUAAAAUAAAUAAAAAAUUGCAUGCUUUUUCCUUUGGUUUUUGAGUUACAAUUAUGAGUAUUUUUCUUAGUUCUCUUGACUAAAGUCUUGUGGUGUGAUGUGGAAAAUUUGAUGUGCAUUUUUAGUAUGAUAGGUAGAACUAAACUCUAAAUUAUAUAUCUUUAGCAGUAGAUCAUUAACCCUGUGAGCUUUGAAUCUUAUAUGGAUAACAUACAAAAGUCCAUCUCUUUCUUUCUUGUAUGAUUCGCUCAUUUCUGUUAGUCUCUAGAACUUGAAUUGACUCUUGUUGAUGAUGUUGUUUAGUUAUGCACACUGAUAUGAUAAAG
rnacentral:lncRNA from 1 species